CGGGGAAUAUUGCACAAUGGGCGCAAGCCUGAUGCAGCCAUGCCGCGUGUAUGAAGAAGGCCUUCGGGUUGUAAAGUACUUUCAGCGGGGAGGAAGGUGUUGUGGUUAAUAACCACAGCAAUUGACGUUACCCGCAGAAGAAGCACCGGCUAACUCCGUGCCAGCAGCCGCGGUAAUACGGAGGGUGCAAGCGUUAAUCGGAAUUACUGGGCGUAAAGCGCACGCAGGCGGUCUGUCAAGGCGGAUGUGAAAUCCCCGGGCUCAACCUGGGAACUGCAUCCGAAACGGGCAGGCUUGAGUCGUGUAGAGGGGGGUAGAAUUCCAGGUGUGGCGGUGAAAUGCGUAGAGAUCUGGAGGAAUGCCGGUGGCGAAGGCGGCCCCCUGGACAAAGACUGACGCUCAGGUGCGAAAGCGUGGGGAGCAAACA
rnacentral:rRNA from 1 species